CUCCUCCUCCUCCUCCUCCUCCUCCUCCUCCUCCUCCUCCUCCUCCUUCUUCUGGCACACUAGCCUAUCUACUCAGUGUGCACUGAGAAGAACAGGCAGCCAAAGAUGCCAGAAGGGAGUGAGUAGUCUCUGAUCUGAGUAAAUAUAGCAAGCACCAGAUGGGACUGUGGAAUUCUUAAGGAAAGAGUGGAUUCAUUUUGAGUUUUCUUAAAUUAGAUUAAAUGUUCCUUGGCAAACAGCAAUCCAUUUAACUCUGACUAAGCUCUGUGAUUGUGAAGAUGCCGUGUUAGCACUUUGAGCUAUUGUUAUCCAGUCCAUGGUGGAUGAUAAUACUCUACAGUAUUAAAAAUUGUUUUAGCCUU